rnacentral:misc_RNA from 1 species
UUAAGUUCAGCGGGUAUCCUCGUCUGAUUCGAGGUCAAAGUCAGUGUGGCAUUGGAUGCCGGAAUUGGGUGGUCACUAGGCUUCCGAACGACAGGUGGUUUACUAGUCCUUGCGGUCGCGGCGUGGCCCGCUAGCUUUCUACGCGUUUAAGCGGGGGAAGGACAGGCCGCACCGAAGCGCGGCGGUCCCGGAUCCCCCGC